CAGAAAAUUAGUUUGAAUUUUUAUUCAAGAAUGUUAUUUGAACCAAAAUGUAGAGUUAAAAACUUCAUAAAGUUUACAAAACAGUCAACAGGCACCAUUUGCUACAAAUAGUUAAAAAAAUAAUAGAGGGCACCCAAUAAAGGAGCUUGUUCAAUAAUAGCAACCACACAUUAGCUUGGAUAAUAUUCCUGGUCAUUUUGAAAACAAUUUUCGUUAUGCGGAGUUUUUGGAACACGUAGAAUUCCACUGAAACAUAAUUGUCACGUUUUAGAUUGCAUGCGAUUGUUAUCGAAAUACAAUUUCCACGAAAUAGAUUUUAUCUAUUUUUCGUGUAGUUCUUCUUAAAACUUCUUUAUCAGUUAUUUUAAUCAUGAAAUUACUAGAUUUUGUCGUAUCGGUGUAUCAAUAUAAAAGGAAAGAAUUGUACUUAUUGAAUACUUAUUUAGUAUCUGCACAGUUUAGAAAAGCGAAAAAUAUGACUUUUAAUAAAGUAGUUCUCUUACUCGUUUUACUUGUCCUGCUAGUCCAAUCACAGGCUGAUGAAGGUUCAGACUUUUUUAAGCGGAGUA